GGUGAACGCUGGCGGCGUGCUUAACACAUGCAAGUCGAACGAAGCACUUAUGAUUGAGAUUUCGGUUGAUUUUAUAAGUGACUUAGUGGCGGACGGGUGAGUAACGCGUGGGUAACCUGCCUCGUACAGGGGGAUAACAGUUAGAAAUGACUGCUAAUACCGCAUAACCCGCUAAGGUCGCAUGACCUGGACGGAAAAGAUUUAUCGGUACGAGAUGGACCCGCGUCUGAUUAGCUAGUUGGUGAGGUAACGGCCCACCAAGGCGACGAUCAGUAGCCGGCCUGGGAGGGUGAACGGCCACAUUGGGACUGAGACACGGCCCAAACUCCUACGGGAGGCAGCAGUGGGGAAUAUUGCACAAUGGGGGAAACCCUGAUGCAGCGACGCCGCGUGAGUGAAGAAGUAUUUAGGUAUGUAAAGCUCUAUCAGCAGGGAAGAAAAUGACGGUACCUGACUAAGAAGCCCCGGCUAACUACGUGCCAGCAGCCGCAGUAAGAC
rnacentral:rRNA from 1 species